rnacentral:rRNA from 1 species
UACGUAGGGGGCAAGCGUUGUCCGGAAUCAUUGGGCGUAAAGCGCGUGUAGGCGGCUCGGCAAGUCUGCUGUGAAAGCCCAGGGCUCAACCCUGGGAUGCCGGUGGAUACUGUCGAGCUCGAGUCCGGAAGAGGCGAGUGGAAUUCCUGGUGUAGCGGUGAAAUGCGCAGAUAUCAGGAAGAACACCCGUGGCGAAGGCGGCUCUCUGGGACGGUACUGACGCUGAGGCGCGAAAGCCAGGGGAGCGAACGGG